rnacentral:tRNA from 1 species
GCCUGGGUGGCUCAGUGGUUGAGCCUCUGUCUUCGGCUCAGGGUGUGAUCCUGGGGUCCUGGGAUCAAGUCCCGGAUCAGGUU